AUGAUCAUAGCACAGUGAAACACUGAUUCUCAUGCGAUCACCAAAGUUAGGCAAUGUUGAGCCUGGUUAGUACCUAGAUGGGUAACCGCUUGGAAAUACCAGUUGCUGUAAU